UAAGCAUAGUAUUCUUCUAUAGAUUUGCAGUCUAUUGUGUUAUUUACACCAUAAGCUC
rnacentral:tRNA from 1 species